UCUCUCCUUUGGAGUUUUGCAGUGAGCCUAGGAUGUGGGGUUGUUAGAGCAAAUGUUCAUGCAUUUUUAUGCAAGCAUUUCACAAGCAUGUGACACACUAGCUACAAAUCUGCAUUUACAACUUGAUGGGAGAUGAACAUUCCUGAGACACU